CGGCGGACGGGUGAGUAACGCGUGGGUAACCUGCCUCAUACAGGGGGAUAACAGUUGGAAACGGCUGCUAAUACCGCAUAAGCGCACAGUACCGCAUGGUACAGUGGUAAAGACUCCGGUGGUAUGAGAUGGACCCGCGUCUGAUUAGGUAGUUGGUGGGGUAACGGCCUACCAAGCCGACGAUCAGUAGCCGACCUGAGAGGGUGACCGGCCACAUUGGGACUGAGACACGGCCCAG
rnacentral:rRNA from 1 species